CAGUAGCCGCGGUAAUACGAAGGGUGCAAGCGUUACUCGGAAUUACUGGGCGUAAAGCGUGCGUAGGUGGUUGUUUAAGUCUGCUGUGAAAGCCCUGGGCUCAACCUGGGAAUUGCAGUGGAUACUGGGCAACUAGAGUAAGGUAGAGGAUAGUGGAAUUUCCGGUGUAGCAGUGAAAUGCGUAGAGAUCGAGAGGAACACCGGUGGCGAAGGCGGCCAACUGGACAAAGACUGACGCUCAGGUGCGAAAGCGUGGGGAGCAAACAGGAUUAGAUACCCGUGUAGUCCCUGUCUCUUAUAC
rnacentral:rRNA from 1 species